rnacentral:rRNA from 1 species
GACGAACGCUGGCGGCGUGCUUAACACAUGCAAGUCGAACGCUGAACCCGCUUCGGUGGGGGAUGAGUGGCGAACGGGUGCGUAACACGUGGGCAACCUGCCCCCGGCUCUGGGAUAACUCCAAGAAAUUGGGGCUAAUACCGGAUGUGACCGCUGGCCGCAUGGUCUGGUGGUGGAAAGGGUUUCCGGCUGGGGAUGGGCCCGCGGCCGAUCAGCUUGUUGGUGGUGUAGUGGCCUAUCAAGGCGACGACGGGUAGCCGGCCUGAGAGGGGGACCGGCCACACUGGGACUGAGAGACGGCCCAGACGCCUACGGGAGGCAGCAGUGGGGAAUAUUGCGCAAUGGGCGGAAGCCUGACGCAGCGACGCCGCGUGGGGGAUGACGGCCUUCGGGUUGUAAACCUCUUCCAGCAGGGACGAAGCGCAAGUGACGGUACCUGCAGAAGAAGCACCGGCCAACUACGUG